rnacentral:rRNA from 1 species
AGCGGCGGACGGGUGAGUAAUGUCUGGGAAACUGCCUGAUGAGGGGGAUAACUACUGGAAACGGUAGCUAAUACCGCAUGACCUCGCAAGAGCAAAGUGGGGGACCUUCGGGCCUCACGCCAUCGGAUGUGCCCAGAUGGGAUUAGCUAGUAGGUGAGGUAAUGGCUCACCUAGGCGACGAUCCCUAGCUGGUCUGAGAGGAUGACCAGCCACACUGGAACUGAGACACGGUCCAGACUCC